UGGGCAAGUUUGGAGUAGCUCCCUAAUAA
rnacentral:piRNA from 1 species